rnacentral:rRNA from 1 species
CCUACGGGAGGCAGCAGUGGGGAAUAUUGCACAAUGGGCGCAAGCCUGAUGCAGCCAUGCCGCGUGUGUGAAGAAGGCCUUCGGGUUGUAAGGCACUUUCAGCGGGGAGGAAGGCGGUGAGGUUAAUAACCUCAUCGAUUGACGUUACCCGCAGAAGAAGCACCGGCUAACUCCGUGCCAGCAGCCGCGGUAAUACGGAGGGUGCAAGCGUUAAUCGGAAUUACUGGGCGUAAAGCGCACGCAGGCGGUCUGCCAAGUCGGAUGUGAAAUCCCCGGGCUCAACCUGGGAACUGCAUUCGAAACUGGCAGGCUAGAGUCUUGUAGAGGGGGGUAGAAUUCCAGGUGUAGCGGUGAAAUGCGUAGAGAUCUGGAGGAAUACCGGUGGCGAAGGCGGCCCCCUGGACAAAGACUGACGCUCAGGUGCGAAAGCGUGGGGAGCAAACAGGAUUAGAUACCCCAGUAGUC